AUUGAACGCUGGCGGCAUGCCUAACACAUGCAAGUCGAGCGGAAGCACGGGAGCAAUCCUUGUGUCGAGUGGCGGACGGGUGAGUAAUUCAUCGGAACGUGCCCAAUCGUGGGGGAUAACGCAGCGAAAGGUGUGCUAAUACCGCAUACGAUCUAAGGAUGAAAGCAGGGGAUCGCAAGGCCUUGCGCGACUGGAUCGGCCCAUGGCAGAUUAGCUAGUUGGUGGGGUAAAGGCUUACCAAGCCAACGAUCCGUAGCUGGUCUGAGAGGAUGACCAGCCACACUGGGACUGAGACACGGUCCAGACUCCUACGGGAGGCAGCAGUGGGGAAUUUUGGACAAUGGGCGAAAGCCUGAUCCAGCCAUGCCGCGUGCAUGAUGAAGGCCUUCGGAUUGUAAACUGCUUUUGUUCGGAACGAAACGGCGUUUUCUAAUAAAGAGGGCUAAUGACGGUACCGUAAGAAUAAGCACCGGCUAACUACGUG
rnacentral:rRNA from 1 species